GUGGGUGUCUCUGAGCCAGGCUGGCGCUCGUGCGCGCUGGGCUCCGCGCUCAGUCGCUGGGGUGGGAGGCCAGGGGAAGCCGCCGCUGCAGGCCGAGCCGCGAGAUUUGCAGUGCAGGAGCCGAAGCGGCGGGCAUGGUGGGAGGUCCUUGGAAGCUGCUGCGGGGAACUGAAACGGCUCUGAUAGGCAGGCACAAAGACUUCUCUAGGACCCCCUACAAUGCUUUACGUUUGCCUCGUGCUUUAGAUUUCACAAAGUGCUUACACAUAACACGACCCUCCUCACUCGACCUGGUGAGAUGGGUAGCAUUUUGUGGAAGAUUCCGAGACUCAAGUUUGAGAGACUCACCCAAGGUCAGAGUUGGCGAGUGGGCGGUCCGUGGACAGGUGCGCAGGUCUCAGCGCCAUUUGGCCCGCGCUGCUGCUUCCUGUGUGUACUGGAUGUUCUCUAGGCUCGCCCAGCGUGGAAGCCCCGAGUUACCAGCCGCAACGUGGAAACCACAGAAGGGGAAAUAGAUGACUUUUGAUAG
rnacentral:lncRNA from 1 species